rnacentral:misc_RNA from 1 species
UCUCCGUUGGUGAACCAGCGGAGGGAUCAUUACAGGACUCGCAAGACUCCUACAACCCUGUGAACUUAACUAUAAGCACGUUGCUUCGGCGGGUGUCUCGGAGAGGGUUCUCCCUCCCCGGGGCGCUAAGCCCGCCGGCAGCCUACUAUACUCUGUCUCUUUGCGUUGGCAUCUCGAGUACAAACAAACAAGUUAAAACUUUCAACAACGGAUCUCUUGGUUCUG